rnacentral:lncRNA from 11 species
AUGCGAUGCAUUUGUAUUGACCAAGCCUUUCGGCCGAUCCCACCAUUGCUUUGUGCUGAUAAGCAUACCUACGCUAUGCAACUUAUAUGCAUGAUUGAGCAUACGCGUGGUAUAUAGGGAAUUCUCAAGAUAACUCAUGAAAUUCCAAAGGAUGAAUAGUUCUACAAGUCUUAGUAAUGUAACUGAAAAAGGAUAUUUAGGUCAUUGGUAAAUGGCCAUAUUCAGACCAAUCAAUGAAUCAAGUUUAUAAAGGAAGAAAAAAAAAAACAAAGGAAAAAACAAAAAAAUAUCUACAUUUUCAUUACAUACUGUACAAAAAUGUACAAUAUAUACCAUAAUUAGAUUAGAAGAUAAUGUAGCAGGUCGACUUACAACUUUUACGUUUCCGGCGCCAAAAGGAUUCCUGUUGCACGUGCCAGACUACUUGGAUUAAAUAACGUCUACGAAGGUGCGUCGACGUGACACUGCAGUAGUUUACUACACCGCAUUAUUUUAGACAUCAACAGGAUACUUCACUGUUCAUUUUAAUCAAAAAUAACAACAAUAUUUAUACUAUUAAUUCUUAUUC